rnacentral:lncRNA from 13 species
UUUCCUCAGUGGUCGGUUAAUGAACAGACGGAGAUUUCCUUGAAGGCCCAGAAGCAGUCGUCUCCCAGCUUCUCUUCGGAGGUUCCAUGCAGUUAACAGUUCUGCACUAGCCCUCACUUCCGGCUUGCACAGAGCCUCAAGGUCAGCCGGAAGUGCGGCUCAGGGCCUUCUGAGGUCCUUCCCCAGCAAGCAGGCAGACCUGGGAACAUGUGUGGCCUUCUAGAUGUUUAGGAAUAUGUUGGAUAUUUUUCGGUUUUUUUCAAAGCUCCCCAUGGACAUCUCACUUCCCAGAUUCUCCUUUAUUUAUUUUUCAGUUGUUCCAUUACUUGCCCAACUGUUAGCCAGCCCCUUGGGCUACUGCAAAGUUCAUCGAUUCCCUGUAGUGAUUUUCGACAACAGCCCCAGGAGAACACUCUUCUCAUGCCGGAAAAAUAAAAUAACUCUACAUAGCUUGCUGCAAGCCUUCGGUGAAUUUCCAGAGUACUUAAAAAUGUAUUCUGACCUUCCCGCCACUUUUCUCACUGCUUGGAGGAAGACAAGACUUCUCAGAGGUCCUUGUGCUGCACUCUCAGCUCCGCUCUUGGCAUCUUCCUACGGAUCGAAAAAGCUACUGUCAAGCUCCUAUUGGAGGGAGGUCACCUGUUGCACAGAGGGAAAAAACAAAACAAAACAGUAUUUAGAACCAGACAGCAGCAGCAGAUUCUCCUCCCAGAUCUGUGGCUUACCAGCAGUGACCUGGCCUCCUUUGCAAGCUGGGACUGGGGGAGCCACUGUGAAAUCUGAUGGGUGCUGUGUGUGCUGCCCUCCCCUCGGCCUGGCGUGGUAGCAGCCGUCGUGCUUCCAGACGGGAAGCAGCGAGGCAAGGUCCUCACUCAGCUAAAGAAGAGCAGCGGGGCACUGUGUGGGCUGCGGCUCAGCCCACUGGCACCAACCCCAUCCUCCUUCCGGGUGUCCUCUUGGGCUGCAGAGGCUGCAAUGCUGAAUCCAAAACCUUGGAUUCCCCGACCUGAUUCAGGCUCUGCCAAUCAGUCGGAAGUGUCAGAGAAACCUGAAUGCAGACUGGAGGUGUGUGGGCGAGGGGGACGCAGGAGCGAGUGGCCAUCUGCUCUGGGGUGACUGGUUCCUGCGCAGGGGGGACCAGCUGCCCACCCAGCAGCCCCAUCCUGCUGUGCAGUGUGGGAGGUCACCCUUGGACACUCAGUCCAGAGCCUCCCUCCAACCCUCCUCACAAUUCUAUAAGCCACUUACCCCCCAUAGUAAAUCCCUGUCUGCUCACACUGGUUACGGUAGGCUUAGUUCUCUGUAGGCGCUCUGAUUGAAAAUAAAAUCCUGGCGUGACAGGGUGUGAUCCGGCA